rnacentral:rRNA from 1 species
AUUAAACGCUGGCGGCAUGCCUUACACAUGCAAGUCGAACGGCAGCACGGGGGCAACCCUGGUGGCGAGUGGCGGACGGGUGAGUAAAGCAUCGGAACGUAUCCUGGAGUGGGGGAUAAUGUAGCGAAAGUUACGCUAAUACCGCAUAUUCUGUGAGCAGGAAAGCAGGGGAUCGCAAGACCUUGCGCUCUGGGAGCGGCCGAUGUCGGAUUAGCUAGUUGGUGGGGUAAAGGCCUACCAAGGCGACGAUCCGUAGCGGGUCUGAGAGGAUGAUCCGCCACACUGGGACUGAGACACGGCCCAGACUCCUACGGGAGGCAGCAGUGGGGAAUUUUGGACAAUGGGCGGAAGCCUGAUCCAGCCAUGCCGCGUGAGUGAAGAAGGCC